rnacentral:lncRNA from 1 species
CUGAUUACAUUGUUACCAUCUUGACAGCAGAGGUGGGGAAUGUGAGACAGGGCAAGUCUAGGAUUAGAAAGAAACUCCACUUAGUGCAAUAUUUCAGGAAGUAAUAGUAGCUGAAAGAAGAGUUAUUCUAGCCAUAGUUGGGGCAACGAGCCCAGUUGGGUGUCUGGCAGGCACAGUGGCACCCAGGGACAAGCUGUGAAAUGCUCGUCACUCAGGAAGAGUGUUUGCUGCUAAGCCAAUGUGGAACUAUAAUUCUUCCACAUUGGGAAGUGGUAGGGCUCUAUUUUCCCCUUUCCAUUGCCGUAUUGGGUCCACAUAAAGGUCAGCUGCCAGCUUCUCAGUUUCUGCCUUUGAAUAUUGAAGGAAAAUUUAAGAGUUUUAAAUUAGGAGUUCUUGCUGUGGGAUGCGAAUUUGAUCCUGGGCUCUGUUCAGGGGUUAAAGGAUUUGGCAUUGCUGCCGCUGUGGCAUAGGGUGCAGCUGUGGCUUGGAUUUCAUCCCUGGACUGGGAACUUCCAUACAACAUGGGUGUUGCCAAAGAGGGUUUUUUUUUUUUUUUUUUUUUUUUUUUUUUUUUUUUUUUUUUUGUUGGUUACACCUGCAACAUGCAAAAGUUCUGGGACCUGGGAUCCAACCCACACCACAUCAGUUACAACACUGGAUCCUUAACCCACUGAUCCACCAGGGAAUUCCUAGUUUAAUUUUUCAAAGUUAUAUGAGUUAUAUUUCUCCAGCACUUCUUGGAGAGAUGACUGACCUAGUCUUAAAGAUGGCUUUUGGAAACCCACUAAAUGGCAAGACCUUGAUUUUCAGUCAGGGAGGGUUUACUGAUGCAGCCUAUGUUUGCCACGAGAUCCUGUGAAUCACAGUCUCCAUCUUUUCUUCAGGCCGUAGCCUAAGGCAACAAAAGCAUCUCUUUGGAGAAAAGACAGUGUCAUAUCACAGCUUCUUCCUGGAAGCCAAGGGUGGUGAAGAGAGUGUAAGAAAGCCUUCUGACUGUGGCCAGUGCUGUAUUUUAGUGAGAGACCCAACGAGGGCCUCUUCCGUUUUCCUCCUAUCGCAGCCCAGUGUCUCUGUGACUACAGGUGAUGACAGCUCUGAGACUUCUAGCAGCUUAAAGAGUUGCUCUCUUUAGAUUUUCCCCCUUGAUUGUAACUUCCAAGACCUGGUAUCUCUUUUGCAACAAACUUCUGUGGUGAAGAUUUACUGAUCUCAAAGUUACACUUCUAAUGGAUUGAUGGGAGGUUAGAAAGGAGAGCAGCAGGCCAUAGGUUAUGGAAAGGAGUAAUUAGAAUGGUUUUUUAAGAGGCAGAACUGUUUCUCAGUCUGAAAAGAUUGUGAAUCCCAUCUGGCUGGCAGUGAAGCUUGGUUGGUGCUAAAUUUUCCAGGCCCUGUUUGAAAUGUUUGCAUUUACAUCAUGCAGUGAAAAUUUCUCUUCCACCUUGUCUGUUCAUAUUUGUGGCCUGAAGCCCAUCUCAGGAUGAAUAACUUCUGUUUGUUUUGGACAUUGUUUCCACUGUUUGCAAAUGGUGCUAAUGUUAUUCCCUACAAUGAUAAUUUAAAACAAUUAUGGUGUGAGGUCUUAACCGUAGUUGGAAGAGGAGUGACUUUCAUUCAGAUCUCUGCUUAAAUGUCACCUUUCUUGGCUACUCUCUGGGAAAAGUUGUCUGCUGUCACUUUUUCCUUUUUAAAAUUUAUUUAUUUUUAUUUUUGGCCCACCCCACAGCAUAUGGAGUUCCUGGGCUAGGAAUCAGAUUCCAGCACAGUGGUGCCCAACAUAUGUGACAGCUGUUACCUACUUACACCACGGGUGUGACAACGCUGGAUCCCGAACCCACUGUGCCAGGCUGGGGAUCAAAUCUGUGUCUCAGGUUCCAGAGAUAUUGCCGAUCCCAUUGGGCCACAAUGGGAACCCCUGCUGUCACUUUUUUUUUUUAAAGAUUUUUAUUUUUUACAUUAUAGUUGAUUUACAGUGUUCUGUCAAUUUCUACUGUACAGCAAAAUGACCCAGUCAUAUAUAUAAAUAUAUAUUCUUUCUCUCACAUUAUCUUCCACCAUGUUUCAUCACAAGUAACUAGAUAUAGUUCCCUGUGCUUUAUGGCAGGAUCUCAUUGCUUAUACACUCCACAUGCAAUAGUUUGUGUAUACUAACCCCAAACUCCCAGGCCAUCCCAUCCCCCUCCCUGCCCCUCUUUCUUGGCAACCACAAGCCUGUUCUCCAAGUCCAUGAGUUUGUUUCUUUUCUAUAGAUAGAUUCAUUUGUGCCAUACAUUAGAUUCCAAAUAUAUGAUAUAUGGUAUUUGUCUUUCUCUUCCUGACUUAUUUCACUUAGCAUGAGAGUUUCUAGUUCCAUCUAUGUUGCUGCAAAUGGUAGUAUUCCAUUGUGUAUAUAUACACCGUAUCUUCUUAAUCCAUUCAUCUAUUGAUGGACAUUUAGGUUGUUCCAUGUCUUGGCUAUUGUGAAUAGUUCUGCAAUGAACAUAAGGGUGUAUGUAUCUUUCUCAAUGAAAGUUUUAUCUGGAUAUAUGACCAAGAGUGGGGUUGCUGGGUCAUAUGGUAGUUCUAAACUUAGUUUUCUGAGGUACCUCUCUAUUGUUUUCCAUAGUGGUUGUACCAGUUUACAUUCCCACUAACAGUGUAGAAGGGUUCCCCUUUCUUCAUACCCUCUCCAACAUUUAUUAUUUGUUGACUUACUUGUUAAUGAUGGCCCUUCUGACUGGUGUGAUGUGGUACCUCAUUGUAGUUUUGAUUUGCAUUUCUCUAACAAUUAGUGAUGUUGAGCAUUUUUUCAUGUGCUUGUUGACCAUCUGUAUAUCUUCUUUGGAGAAAUGUUUAUUCAGGUCUUUUGCCCAUUUUGCAGUUGGGUUGUUAGGGUUUUUUUUUUUUUGUUGUUGUUGUUGAGUUGUAUAAGUUGUUUGUAUAAUUUAGAGAUUAAACCAUUAUCAAUUGCAUCAUUCAAAACUAUUCUGUAGGUUGUCUUUUUUUUUUUAUGGUUUCCUUUGCUGUGCAAAAGCUUGUCAGUUUGGUUACGUCUCAUUGGUUUAUUUUUGCUUUUACUUCUCCUGCCUUGGAUGUCUGACCUAAGGACACAUUUGUACAGUUGAUGUCAGAGAAUAUUUUGCCUAUGUUCUCUUCUAGGUGUUUUAGGAUAUAAGUCUUUAAGCCAGUUUGAGUUUAUUUUUGUGCAUGGUAUGAGGGUGUGUUCCAGUUUCAUUGAUUUACAUGCAGCUGUCCAGUUUUCCCAGCACCAAUUACUGACAAGACAUUUUUUUUUCAUUUUAUGAUCUUGCCUCCUUUGUCGAAGAUUAAUUGACCAUAGGUGUCUGGUUUUAUUUCUGAGUUCUCUAUUCUGUUCCAUUGGUCUGUAUUGUCUGUUUUGGUACCACUACCACACUGUCUUGAUGACUGUAGUUUUGUAAUAUUGUCUGAAGUCUGGGAGAGUUAUGUCUCCUGGUUGUUUUUUUUCCCUCGGGAUUGCUUUGGCAAUUCUGGGUCUUUUGUUGUUCCCUAUAAAUUUUUGGAUUGUUUGUUCUAGUUCUGUGAAAAAUGUCAUGGUUAAUUUGAUAGGGAUUGUAUUGAAUCUGUAGACUGCUUUGGGUAGUAUGGCCAUUUUUAUGAUAUUAAUUCUUCCAACCCAGGAGCAUGGAAUAUCUUUCCAUUUCUUUGAAUCCUUCUCUAAUUUCCUUGAUUAAUGUUUUAUGGUUCUCACCAUAUAAGUCUUCCACCUCCUUGGUCAGGUUUAUUCCUAGGUAUUUAAUUUUUUGGGAUGUGAUUUUAAAAGGUAUUCUAAUUUUAUAUUCAUUUUCUAAUAUUUAAUUGUUAAUGUACAGAAAUGCACUGAUUUCUGAAUGUUAAUCUUGUAUCCUGCUAUUUUGCUGAAUUUAUUGAUCACUUCUAGUAGUUUUUGUGUGGAAUCCUUAGGGUUUUCUAUAUGUAGUUUCAGGUCAUCUGCAUAGAGUGACAAUUUUACCUCAUCUCUUCCAAUUUGGAUACUUUUUAUUUCUUUUAUUCGUCUGAUUUCUAUGGCUAGGACUUCCAGUACUGUGUUGAGUAAAAGUGGUGUGAGUAGGCUUCCUUGUCUUGUUCCAGAUAUUAGUGGGAAGGCUUUCAGCUUUUCUCCAUUGUGUAUUAUAUUUGCUGUAGGUUUGUCAUAAAUGGCUUUUAUUAUAUUAAAUAUGCUCCCUCUAUACCCACUUUGGUAAGAGUUUUUACUAUGAAUGGAUGUUGGACUUUGUCAAAUGCUUUUUCUGCAUCUGUUGAAAUAAUCAGGUGAUUUUUUGACUUUUCUUUUGUUGACGUGAUGUAUGAUGUUGAUUGAUUCGUGUAAGUUGAACCAUCCUUGUGAAUCUGGGAUGAAUCUCACUUGGUCAUGGUGUUAUGAUCUUUUUAAAAAAUGUUAUUAAAGUUACUUAAUGACUUUUAUUACAUUUAUAGGUAUACAACAAUCAUCACAACCAAAUUUUAUAGCAUUUCCAUUCCAACCCCUCUAUGAUUUUUUUUUUAUAUGUUGUUGGAUUUGGUUGGCUUAAAUUUUGUGUCUAUAUUCAUCAAAGAUAUUGGCCUAUAAUUUUCUUUUUUGGUAGUAUCUUUGUCUGGUUUUGGUAUUAGAGUGAUGGUGGUUUCAUUGAAUGUCUUUGGGAGUGUUCCUUCUUUUUCAACCUUUUGGAAAAGUUUAAGAAUGACAGGUAUAAGUUCUUUGUAUGUUAGGUAAAAUUUGUCUGUGAAGCCAUCUGGUUCUGGACUUUUGUUUGUAGGAAGUGUUUUUAUUAUAUAUUCAAUUUCAUUUCUAGUGAUUGGUUUGUUUAGUUGAUCUAUUUCUUCUUGAUCCAUUUUGGUGGGCUGUGUGUCUCUAGAAAGUUGUCCAUUUUUUCUAGGUUGUCAAAUUUGUUGGCAUAUAAUUGCUCAUAAUAUUCUCUUAUGAUUUUUUGUAUUUCUGCAGUAUCUGUUGAGAUUUUUCCUUUUUUAUUUCUUAUUUUGUUUAUUUGAGUACUUUCUCUCAUCUUUUUGGUUAGUCUGGCCAGAGGUUGUUAACUCUGUUUACCCUUUCAAAGAAUCAGCUCUUGGUUUUAUUGAUUUUUUUCUAUUGUUUUUUGAAUCUCUAUUUUAUUGAUUUCCUCUCUGAUCUUUAUGUUUUCCUUCCUUCUGCUGACUUUGGGUUUUACUUGUUCUUCUUUUUCUAUUUCUUUUAGGUGGUAGGUUAAGUUGUUGAUUUGAGAUUUUUCUUCUUUUCUGAGCAAGGCCUGUAUCACUAUGAACUUCCCUCUAAGUACUGCUUUCGCAGCACCACAUAGAUUUUGAAUGGUUGUGUUUUCAUUAUCAUUUGUCUCAAGGUAUUUUUUAAUUUCCUUUUUGAUUUCCUCAUUGACUCAUUGGUUUUUUUAUAGCAUGUUGUUUAGUCUCCAUGUAGUCAGUUUUUUCUCAUUUCUUUUCCUGUGGGUGAUUUCUAGUUUCAUGCCAUUGUGGCCAGAGAAGAUACUUGAAAUAAUUUCUAUACUCUUAAAUUUGUUGAGAUUAUCUUUGUGCCCCAGUAUGUGGUCAAUCCUUGAGAAGGUUCCCUGUGCACUUGAGAAGAAUGUAUAUUCUGAUUUUUUUGGAUGUAGUGUCCCGAAAAUGUCAAUUAAGUCUAACUUUUCUAUUGUGUCAUUUAGGAUCUCUGUUGUCUUUAUUGAUUUCCUGUCUAGAGAAUCUGUUCAUUGAUGUCAAUGGAUUGUUUAAGUCUCCUACUAUGAUUGUAUUCCUAUUAAUUCCUCCUUUCAUGUCUGUUAAUAUUUGUUGUAUGUAUCUGGGUGCUCCUAUAUUAGGGGCAUAUAUAUUAUCGAUUGUAAUGUCCCUUUCUUGAGUGGAUCCUUUUAUCAUUAAAUAGUGACCUUCUUUGUCUUUCUUUAUGGCCUUCAUUUUAAAGUCUAUUUUGUCUGAUACGAGUAUUACAACUCCUGCUUUCUUCUCUUUUCCAUUGGUAUGAAAGGUCUUUUCCCAUCCCCUCAUUUUCAAUUUAUAUGUGUCCUUUGCCCUGAGGUGAGUCUCCUGUAGACAGCAUAUUGUAGGCUUUUGCUUUUUUUGUCCAGUCUGCCACUCUCUUUUGAUUGAAGCAUUAAGUCCAUUGACAUUUAAGGUAAUUAUUGAUAAAUAUAUAUUUAUUGACACGUUAAAACUUGUUUUCCAGUUGAUUCUGUGUUUCUCCAUUGUUCCUUUAUUUUUUGGUUGGAUGAUUUCCUUUUAUUUUAUGCUUAUGUCCUUUUCUUUUUAGUUUUUGUGAAUGUAAUGUUUGGUUUUGAUUUGUGGUCGCUCUGUUUUUUUAAGUAUCUUAACCCCUUCCUAUAUCUGCUUGCCUUAGCCUCAUGGUCAUAUAUGCUCAAACACAUUCUUAAAAAAAAGAGUCUAGAUUUUCUUACUUUCCUUCCCCACAUUUAUGAUUUUGAAGUUCUUUUUUAACAUCUUCAUGUUUGUCCUUUUGCUGUUUCUUGUGUUAUUGUCACUUUUACAAUAGGUUUUUUUUUCUUUCUUUAGAUCUGUGUACUGGCCUAUGUAAGUGAUUGCUUUCCAAUUGUGGUUUUCUCCAUCCUAUUUCUUCUUACUUUUUUUUUUAGAGAAGCUCUUUCAGCAUUUCUUUUAAAUGGGUUUAGUAUUGCUGUACACUUUCAGUUUUUGUUUGUUGGAGAAAUUCUUUAUUUCUCCUUCUAUUUUAAAUGCUGUUCUUGCUGGGUAGAGUAUUCUAGGCUGCAGUUUUUUUCCCUUUUAGAACUUUGAAUAUAUCUUGCUACUCUCUUCUGUCCUAUAGUGUUUCUGUAGAGAAAUCAAUUAAUAGCCUUAUGGGGGUUCCCUUAUAAUUAACACUUUGUUUUUCUUUUGCUGCCUCUAGAAUCCUUUCUUUAUCUUUAACUUUUGCCAUUUUUAUUGUAACAUGUUUUGGUGUGGGCCUGUUUGGGGCCCUCUGUGCUUCCCGUAUCUUGAUGUCUGUUUUCUUUUUAGAUUGAGAAAAUUUUCAGACAGUUUCUUCAAAUAUAUUUUCAGUACCCUUUUUUCUCCUUCUGGAAUUCCUGUUAUGCUUAGACUAGCCCAUUUUAUAUUAUCCUGUAUAUCUCUUAUAUUGCUUUCAUGUUUUUUUCAUUUGGUUUUCUGUCUGCUGUCCUGAUUGGGUGAUUUCUAUCUUCCAAGUCACUAAUUCAUUCCUCUGCAUUAUUCAUUCUUCUUUUUAGUGCCUUUAACUCAGUUGCAUCUCUGCAAAUGAAUUUUCCAGUUUUUUUUGGUUCCUCCUUAUAUUUUUUAGUUCCUUUCUAAAGUAAUGUGCAUCACUGUUUAUAUCUGCUUUUAAUUCCUUCACAUUCACUCUUAAUUUCUUCAGUAUUUUCACUAUCUCCUUUUUGAACUCAGUGUCUAUUAGACUGCAGAGGUCUGUUUCAUUGUUUGCUGCUUCAGGUGGAGUCUCCUAUUCUUUUAACUAGGAAUGGUUCCUGAGCAUCUUCAUUUUCCUUAUAUUUUUCUUAUUCUGUGAGUUUAGGGAAUCCAACUCCUGUUGUUUUGGAGGGCUACUUCUAUGCAAGGGCACCAUUUUCUAUUUUGUUGGGGGGCUACUACUUAUUUUUGGCAUGGGAGUUUGAAUAUUUGCUGUCUCUUUCCUCAGGGUGAGCAGGCUAUUAUCCCCUUGAUAGGGUUCUGUGUGUGUUUCCAGGGAGAAAAAGGCAGUGGGCAGGGCUAGUAGUCAGUGUCUGGUUGCUGGGCUCUUGACAUUAGUAAGGACCCAUGGGAAGGUGGCACAGGCUACACCUCAUUGCAGGGCCCUGGGAAGUGGUAAUGAGCCACGGGCAGAUUUAGGCAGUUCUCAGAGCAUUUGGCAGUGUCAGUGGCAGGGUGUGUGGGUUCCCAGGGGAGUGAGAGCAACAACAGGUGGUGUGUGGUCACAGUGCCCCCUUCUGUGGUGCCUUCUGAAGUGAUUGUGGCUGCAAGUAGUGCUGGUUCACAGACACCUAGUGGUGGUGGGCCACGCCUACCUCUGGAGUCAAAGAUAACUGGGGUGGUUUGCCCCUGCCACCUGUAGACCAUGCAAGAAGCACCUUGUCCCCCUUAGUCACACAGGAGGUUCUGCACAGGCUGCUUCUAGUUGGAGGGUCCUGGGAAGUAACAGUGAUUGGGCAUGUGUAGGCAGUGCUCCAAGCACUUGGCAUUGGUGCAACAGGGUGGGUGCGUUCCCAGGGGAGUGAUAGUAACAACGGUGGUUGGUUGGUUGCAGUGACCUCUUUUUUGCCAACUUAUGAGGUGACUGGGGCCACAGAUGGAGCCUGUUCACAGACCACUAGUGGUGGCAGACCAUGCCUCCCUCUGAUUUCUGAGAUUACUGCUGUGGUUUGUCCCCACUUCCUGUAGAUAAUGCAAGAAGUGCCGUGUUGUGCCUAGCCCCCCAAUGCCCUUAGCCCACACAAAAGGUGUCUGGCCACUUGUAGCCUGCAUAUCAUCUAGGUAAAGACCUGAGGAUAAGUGGCAGCAAGUCCUCCAGAUGGGGCCACAGCAUAUUGAAUCUGUGAGAGAGGAGGGAAAGGAAUAGAGUUCAGUGGAGUAAAUACAGCACUUCCCACACUUGGAUGGGGAUGUAGAUAGUAUUUGGCCUCCCAGGCCUCUGUGAAGACUUUGUCUUCUACUCCAAAUAAGAUGUAAGGUCUUGUUUUGAGUAGGGGGAGACACCUCUGACUUGCACUUUAAAAGUGUCACUCUGGGGAGUUCCCUCAUGGUCUAGUGGUUAGGAUUCAGUGCU